GCGUGGGUGAAGAAGGUCUUAGGAUUGUAAAGCCCUUUCAGCAGGGAAGAUGAUGACGGUACCUGCAGAAGAAGCCCCGGCUAACUCCGUGCCAGCAGCCGCGGUAAUACGGAGGGGGCUAGCGUUGUUCGGAAUUACUGGGCGUAAAGGGCACGUAGGCGGCCCGUUAAGUCAGAGGUGAAAUCCCCGAGCUCAACUUGGGAAUUGCCUUUGAUACUGGCGGGCUCGAGUCCGGGAGAGGAUAGUGGAAUUCCCAGUGUAGAGGUGAAAUUCGU
rnacentral:rRNA from 1 species